AUGGCAUAAAGAUAACUAUGGGUUCUGGUUAGAUCAACGAAGUCAAGCAUCAUUGGGCGCGGUCAGUACUUGGGUGGGUGACCACCUGGGAACACCGCGUGCCGUU